GACGAACCGUCCAAACGUUAUUCGGAAUCACUGGGCUUACAGAGUUCGUAGGCGGUCUGGAAAGUUGGGUGUGAAAUCCCUCGCUUAACCGAGGAAGUGCGCCAGAAACUGCAGAGCUUGAGUACCGGAGAGGAUGGUGGAAUUCCCCAAGUAGAGGUGAAAUUCGUAGAUAUGGGGAGGAACACCGGUGGCGAAGGCGACCAUCUGGACGGAUACUGACGCUGAGACGCGAAAGCGUGGGGAGCAAACAGG
rnacentral:rRNA from 1 species